UACCAAACAUUCUAACAAAUGCCCAUGAGCAGCUCAUGAGAAGCACAUGAGAAUCUAGUAAGAAAUGUAUGCAAAUUAGGUAGGAAUUCAUUUUGCUCAUGUGCAGAUUGUUAGUCUCUGUUAGGGAGGAAAAUACUAACCAAAAUGCACAUGUGCAAAAAUUUGCUCACCUGAUUGCUCAUGAGCAAAAUUCUAUUCGAAUUGCUCACGUAAGCAACAGGCUAUACAGAUACAUUGACGGUAUAUUUUUUUUCUAAGUUCAACUUUCUCACGUGAGCAAGAGGUUAGGAAAUUGGACUUAGUCAGUAUAUGCAGUAUCAAAGUUAAAUUAAAAUGAAAAAAAAAAGAAUAAGUCCUUUUUCCUCACGUAAGCAAUUGCAAAAUUUUGUUAACAAGUACAUUUUGACACCCCCUCCCCCACCCCAUUUUUUUUUCGUGAACGCCAAACUGUCAGGUUUUUUUUUUUUUUUUUUUUUGGUAACGUUAUAUUCUUUUUUUCCUAAAUUCAAUUAUCACUCAACUUACGAUUUAGAUAUGAGAAUCUGACAAAACCGCUUGAUAUUGUGAUUUUUCGUAAGCUGUUUGUUUCUACUUUUACUUUUGUUUUAAUGUAAAGUUACUUGCUAGUCUGGUUCUCCCUCCCGCCCAAAACGAAGUAAAUAACGCAGUGGCGGGGGAACCAGUCUAAGCUAUGCGCGCACUCAUUGGUUGAUUAAAUGCCAGCCGCCAAUUUUCAUAUUCGAUUCCGCCAUGUUGUCUACCAUCACAGAUGACGGUGAAAUGAAUUAAAAAGGGAAUUAUCUGAUUCUGUACGGUACUACCGGUUGAUAAGGUUAAAAACUACGUUGUCGAUGGGGUAUUCGUCUAUGGAGUGUUUUAGUGUGAAAAAUCCACGCCUGAACAGAGGAAGAAUCUGAAUGAAUGAAUCGAGUGUCGACACCCCCUGCAUCUUCUGUAUGAGCACUUCAAGCAUGCCCUGAGUUGCACAGACCUGAAGAAAACCAUGAAAAGCUCGCUGAUUUUAUAAUGAUGCAACAAAAAAAGUGAAGACGUAAUUUAAGUAAUGGAGAAGUUAUACAUGCUGAUCGAAGUCUGGUUGUGUCAAUUUGGAUAUUAUUGUGAUGUUCUUGUAGUCAGCUGUUUGUGUGGUUUACAGUUUAUGUGUGAAAUCAGAGAGCAUGUGAGACACGAGACUGUCAAAGAAAGGACAUUUGGAAUGUUGGAGACGAAUGCCUCGAUCGAUUGUAAUGCAGCCAGUGUUCGUGCAGCACUUAUGAACUACUUUGUAUGUAUGGUUAAAUUGAACUUUGCCUACUGUGAACUGUGAUUUUUUUUCCAAGUCCGACUGUGUGCUACACUGCUUUGUGUGAUCAAACUGCAAUACAAAUUUUAACAUGCCAGCAUUUAUUAUUGGUAAACUUUCUAAAGAUUUAUGUAAAUGUAAUGUUAAACAAUGUAUGAAAUUGUAUUUUUAAAAUGACUGAUGUAAAUAUAUAUUGAUGAUUUUAAUUUCAA